GGACCCGCACAAGUAGUGGAGCAGUGGUUGAUUUCAAUCGAAGAACGCGCAGAACCUUACCAACACUUGACAUGUUCGUCGCGACUCUAAGAGAUUAGAGUUUCGGUUCGGCCGGACGAAACACAGGUGCUGCAUGGCUGUCGUCAGCUCGUGUCGUGAGAUGUUGGGUUAAGUCCCGCAACGAGCGCAACCCUCACUUUUAGUUGCCAUCAUUAAGUUGGGCACUCUGAAAGAACUGCCAGUGAUAAGCUGGAGGAAGGUGGGGAUGACGUCAAGUCCUCAUGGCCCUUACGUGUUGGGCUACACACGUGCUACAAUGGUCGGUACAGAGGGAAGCUACCCCCCGCAAGGGGAUG
rnacentral:rRNA from 1 species